AGCGAACGCUGGCGGCAGGCUUAACACAUGCAAGUCGAGCGGGCAUCUUCGGAUGUCCGCGGCAGACGGGUGAGUAACACGUGGGAACGUACCCUUCGGUUCGGAACAACUCUGGGAAACUGGAGCUAAUACCGGAUACGCCCUUAUGGGGAAAGGUUUACUGCCGAAGGAUCGGCCCGCGUCUGAUUAGCUAGUUGGUGGGGUAACGGCCUACCAAGGCGACGAUCAGUAGCUGGUCUGAGAGGAUGAUCAGCCACACUGGGACUGAGACACGGCCCAGACUCCUACGGGAGGCAGCAGUGGGGAAUAUUGGACAAUGGGCGCAAGCCUGAUCCAGCCAGGCCGCGUGAGUGAUGAAGGCCUUAGGGUUGUAAAGCUCUUUUGUCCGGGACGAUAAGGACGGUACCGGAAGAAUAAGCCCCGGCUAACUUCGU
rnacentral:rRNA from 1 species